UACGAAGGGGGCUAGCGUUGCUCGGAAUCACUGGGCGUAAAGGGUGCGUAGGCGGGUCUUUAAGUCAGGGGUGAAAUCCUGGAGCUCAACUCCAGAACUGCCUUUGAUACUGGAGAUCUGAGUUCGGGAGAGGUGAGUGGAACUGCGAGUGUAGAGGUGAAAUUCGUAGAUAUUCGCAAGAACACCAGUGGCGAAGGCGGCUCACUGGCCCGGUACUGACGCUGAGGC
rnacentral:rRNA from 1 species